AGUUAAUGAGCUUGAAAAAUAAGCAUAUGUUUUGAAAACAUAAGAUAGAGUAUAGACCCCCUAUUAACUU
rnacentral:tRNA from 1 species